ACCAGAGUGGAGGCUUGAAUGGCUUCCAUAAGGCUCAUAUAUUUGAGUGUCGGUCUUUGCAGCUGUAAUACCACCUUUGAUAUUACUACCAAGAAUGCUAGGUGUUAUAGAGGCUGAACAUACCUGCCCAGUGUACUGAUUCAUUUUUGUGUGUCGACUUGACACAAGCUGGAGUUAUCACAGAGAAAGGAGCCUCCCUUGAGGAAAUGCCUCCAUGAGAUCCAGCUGUAAGGAGGUACCACUGGACAUAGAAAGCAAAUGGAGAGACAUGGCAAGGAGAAAGGAUGUCAGUACUGAAGCUACUGCUAAGAGCCAAGAAAGGGGCUGGAAAGAGGACUCAGCUGUCAAGAACACUUGCUUCCUUCCAGACAACUCAGGUUCAACUCCCAGAAUCUUCGUAGGGGCUCACAACUGUGUGAACCUCCAGUCCCAGGGGGGAAUCUGAAACCUCUUCUGGUCUGUGCAAGCACCAGGCACAAAAGUGGUACACAGAUACACACAGAAGCUAAACACCCAUACACAUAAAAUAAAAAUGUAAAAAGGAUGAA
rnacentral:lncRNA from 1 species